CGUGCCAACGAACCAACAGCAACGCACAGGGGCUAUCCCUUCUCCUGCUACGGGUGCCCCUGCCACCACUACCGUUCCAGUGCGCUGCGGCAUGGCGUGCAAUACAACCUCGGACCUCGCACGGCAGGCGCAAAAACGGGGAUUGGUGGGGAAAGGCCCUCUCAUUGUUGGCUGAAAGCGGGGGCGAGUACCAGUCACUACACGAGAUGUACACACCACGCCCUCUGCCACAGGCUGCUGGCACACCCAGCCGCCUUUUCCCUCUGCUCACCUUCCCUCUCACCGGUGCGCUGUACCGUUGUUGCACUCCCCAUUACCACAUUAGACGCAGAGCAGUAGAGUACUCCUGCGCUGGGAGCACCACGUGGACAACGAUUUCACGGGAUUAGUGGUAGCGUCACCCCACUUCGCUCCGCACCAGCGGAUGGCGUGUGGACACCUCAGUGCGUGGUAUCGCAGGGCUCAGUGCCCCUCCCCAAACUCUGUGUGGCGGGGAGCCAAGCAGCACCCCUUAUCCCCUGUCAAGCCUGAACCACCUCUGGCGGUGACAGCGUCAGGCACCGGCGACCCGAGGCGAGGUCGGGGCGGUGCAUCGCUGCUGAUUUAGGCGGUGAGGUCCUGAAUGGCGCGAGGUCGGAGCGGCCUGUGACACCGGACACGCUUGUACCAUCCAUACGAUGGGCGAGGUGUCAAGGGAACUCGAGUCUAUCUCACCCGGCCCUUGCUGCUUACUGGUGUGCGGAGGCGGAGUGCCACCGCGAGAAGAGGGAUGCGCCGGGGGUGGCGGCCGGCAUGGUGGGAGCAGCCUUUAGGAAGCCAGUGCGUAGAGUUGGGGGCAGGUGCCGUGCUCAGAUGGCUGAGCCGGUGCCUUGCUGUAGGGCGUGUCUACGGCUGCCGUCGCACCACGCGAUGCGGGGGAUCUGUGACAGGCGGAAGGGGUAGUAGAGUGAGGGGUGAGGCCGUGCUAUGUGGCUCUGUGGAGACGAGUACGCUGACGGAAAUG
rnacentral:misc_RNA from 1 species